GCUGGCAUCGUAUAAUGGUAAUAUGUUAUCCUUCCAAGUUAAUGCUAAAAGUUCGAUUCUUUUUGUCAGCU
rfam:PVC group bacterium (ex Bugula neritina AB1) isolate AB1-3 AB834_contig000060, whole genome shotgun sequence.